CGAAGCGUGCGAUUGGAUUGCACGUCUAAGCAGUAAGGCUGAGUAUUAGGCAAAUCCGGUACUCGUUAAGGCUGAGCUGUGAUGGGGAGAAGACAUUGUGUCUUCGAGUCGUUGAUUUCACACUGCCGAGAAAAGCCUCUAGAUAGAAAAUAGGUGCCCGUACCGCAAACCGACACAGGUAGUCAAGAUGAGAAUUCUAAGGUGAGCGAGCGAACUCUCGUUAAGGAACUCGGCAAAAUGACCCCGUAACUUCGGGAGAAGGGGUGCUCUUUAGGGUUAACGCCCAGAAGAGCCGCAGUGAAUAGGCCCAAGCGACUGUUUAUCAAAAACACAGGUCUCUGCUAAACCGUAAGGUGAUGUAUAGGGGCUGACGCCUGCCCGGUGCUGGAAGGUUAAGAGGAGUGGUUAGCUUCUGCGAAGCUACGAAUCGAAGCCCCAGUAAACGGCGGCCGUAACUAUAACGGUCCUAAGGUAGCGAAAUUCCUUGUCGGGUAAGUUCCGACCCGCACGAAAGGCGUAACGAUUUGGGCACUGUCUCAACGAGAGACUCGGUGAAAUCAUAGUACCUGUGAAGAUGCAGGUUACCCGCGACAGGACGGAAAGACCCCGUGGAGCUUUACUGUAGCC
rnacentral:rRNA from 1 species